CAAUGGCGUAAACAAAGGGAAGCGAGCCUGUGAAGGGGAGCAAAUCCCAAAAAUAACGUCCCAGUUCGGAUUGUAGUCUGCAACCCGACUACAUGAAGCUGGAAUCGCUAGUAAUCGCGGAUCAGAAUGCCGCGGUGAAUACGUUCCCGGGUCUUGUACACACCGCCCGUCACACCAUGGGAGUCGGAAAUGCCCGAAGUCGGUGACCGAACCGAAAGGAAGGAGCCGCCGAAGGCAGGUCUGGUGACUGGGGUGAAGUCGUAACAAGGUAAC
rnacentral:rRNA from 1 species